rnacentral:rRNA from 1 species
GAUGAACGCUGGCGGCGUGCCUAAUACAUGCAAGUCGAGCGAACAGAUAAGGAGCUUGCUCCUUUGACGUUAGCGGCGGACGGGUGAGUAACACGUGGGUAACCUACCUAUAAGACUGGGAUAACUUCGGGAAACCGGAGCUAAUACCGGAUAACAUUUGGAACCGCAUGGUUCUAAAGUGAAAGAUGGUUUUGCUAUCACUUAUAGACGGACCCGCGCCGUAUUAGCUAGUUGGUAAGGUAACGGCUUACCAAGGCGACGAUACGUAGCCGACCUGAGAGGGUGAUCGGCCACACUGGAACUGAGACACGGUCCAGACUCCUACGGGAGGCAGCAGUAGGGAAUCUUCCGCAAUGGGCGAAAGCCUGACGGAGCAACGCCGCGUGAGUGAUGAAGGGUUUCGGCUCGUAAAACUCUGUUAUUAGGGAAGAACAAAUGUGUAAGUAACUGUGCACGUCUUGACGGUACCUAAUCAGAAAGCCACGGCUAACUACGUG